rnacentral:lncRNA from 1 species
CCAGAUUCCUACCCAAGUGGGAACUAGCACAGUGUAGGAGUCUAUAGGAAAUACAUUCCUGUUUUCAUCCAGGGCCUUCAGCUUGAUACCUACUGUCUUCAUUUCCUGAUUCUGCUAUGGAACCAGGAAGUUGCGGCAAGAAAGCAACUUUUAUUUGGGGGCUCACAAUAAGCUGGGACCCUUCUGAGCACAGAGAUGUGACCAGGGCACCCCAGCAGGCUCAUGGAACUACUUUCCUCAGCUGGAAAUGCCUAUGAAGCUGCCGCCCAGUGCAGGGACUCUCCACAGCUCUCCCUCCGCACGGAAUGCAUUUGCCUCCUGGUUGGCCUCGUCCACUCCUGUUCACCCCUCAAACCUCAGCAGCUUCAGGGGAAGCCUUCCUCGACUUCCCUGAGAAAAAGCGAGGUGUCAUCGUCACCUUUCCCAUAUGACUCUCUGUGCCGAUUGACUGCUCACCCUGUGUCAGGCAUUGCCAGCCACAGUACUGGGAUAAUACUUUGCAUGAGGGGCUCAGUAGGUGUUGGCUGAGGAAUGUGUUCAUUACUAUCUCAGAGAUACCAUGUGAGGAAACUGAGGCCCAGAGCAGCAGGGUUUCUGGUGGAGCGGGCCUGGUCCUAGGAGCUGGCCUGUAGGAGUGCACUCUUGCCCAUUCUUCUGCGCCCCACAGGUCCCCUGCCAUGUGCUCUGGCAGCCUGUCCUCCUGCUCAUCUCUAGCGACUGUGAUACAUUUACAUUCAUUUGCAUGGUUAGCAGAUUAAUGAAUGUUUGUUGCUGCCCUGCUGCAGUCCCUGUAAGUGCCAGGACAACAGGAGUACCAAGGAAUCUGGCUAGGCGCCCCACCCAAAGGUGCUCGGCAGCCCAAGGUUGCCCGCUCCUCUAUCAUGCUUCCUGGCCCCGUGUGUCCUGGGAACCUCGGCAGAGACCCUAAUGGAGCCACCCCAGGCUCUUUGCUUCGUGGAGCCUCCUGGCUGUGUGCCUGGGGUUUAGCCCUCGGCCUCAUCUCCUGGUUUCUGCAUCAGAGCCUGCAGUGCUGAGGAAACGUCCAUGACUUGGCAGGAUGUGUUCCUCCGUCCACUCCCUUUGCUCCUUUGUCAUCCUUCUAUCAGGAAAGGAACCCAUUUCGCUCCCAGGACAGAGCCUGCUGCCCGUCCUCUGGUGUCGACCUGCACACACUCUGAGUGACCACUUUACCGGCUUGUGACCGUCAGGACCCUCCUCCAAGGUCCCUUCAGAUCACAGUGACGUGAAAAGCCUGUCUGGACUCUAGCAGUGAGGGACCCCCAGUCCUCCAGGGCACCUCAGCAGGCCACCAGGGCCCUCUAAGGCCAACUUGGCUGAGCUCCAGGUGACUCACACUGUUUUUGAGUGAGAAAAAUAACUUAAAAAUGGCUUCUGACCAAGUGGGGAAAGUGGACAAUGUGGGAGGACAAAGGGGAUGUUCGCCAGGCCCUAGGCUCCUUUGCCAGCUGCAAACUGAGGUGGGCUUAAGGCGCACAUGGCCCUCAAGAGGCCUUCUUCAAAGGGCUGUGGCACCCUGGGCUCAGACUCUGGCGGUGAGGCUGCUUCAGGUCGUGAGCCACGCAUAUGUUGCUGAUUUAAAACAGACCACCCAGGCCUCAGGGCCUCAGCACCUUCCUCUCCAAGUGGGCUUGUGAUAGGAGGAAUAGCCUUAAGGUUCCUGUGAGAGUAAAAUGAAAUGUGCUUCCCACUGUGCGAGGCACAUAGAAAAUGCCAAGUAUCUAGUAUCUGCUAGCAUCAUUCUUGUUUCUUAAAAGUAUUACUGUUAACAGUAGCUGUAAAAAGACUUUGGGCAAGAGAUAAAGUCCAGGAUGCACAGUUAGAGGCUGUGAUGAGUAAGUGCGAUGCCAUGUAAGGCAAGUACUUUAUGAAUUGCUAAUUAUGUCCAGAUAGCAUCGUUAGCACAAAUGUUGUAUAUGUUGUUUUGGCUUUGGAAAGAAUGACUGAGCCCAGUUUUGGGAUGUUGAGUGUAAGUUCUUUGUUGUUUUGUUUCUGAGGGAG